GUAACAUGGGAUGGUCUUAUGAUAACGGGGGAGGCCAUGGGGUGACCCUACAAUAACACAAGAAGGGCCAAGGGGUGAUCCUACAGUAACAUAAGAAAACCCAUGGGGUGGUCCUAUGAUAACGCAGGUGGUGGAUGUGACCCUACAAUAACAUGGGGUAGCCCUCCAAUAAUAUAAAGGCCAUGGGGUGACCCUACAAUGACACAGGUGGUGGAUAUGACCCUACAAUAACAUGGGGUAGCCCUACAGUAAUAUAAGGGCCAUGGGGUGACCCUACAAUGACACAGGUGGGGAAUAUGACCCUACAAUAACACCAUGAGGGCCGUGGGCCGUCCCUACAGUAACGUGGUGGGACAUGGGGUGGCCCUACGAUAACACAGCAGGGCAGUGUGACCCUACAAUGAUGCGGGUCGACCCUACAAUAGCACGGGGGGGGGAUGGGGUAACCAUAAGAUAGCACAAUAACAUUUGGGCCGUGGGGUGACCCUACAGUAACACAGGAGGG
ensembl:lncRNA